rnacentral:rRNA from 1 species
AACGCUGGCGGCAGGCCUAACACAUGCAAGUCGAACGGUAACAGGAAGAGCUUGCUUCUUUGCUGACGAGUGGCGGACGGGUGAGUAAUGUCUGGGAAACUGCCUGAUGGAGGGGGAUAACUACUGGAAACGGUAGCUAAUACCGCAUAACGUCGCAAGACCAAAGAGGGGGACCUUCGGGCCUCUUGCCAUCGGAUGUGCCCAGAUGGGAUUAGCUGUAGGUGGGGUAACGGCUCACCUAGGCGACGAUCCCUAGCUGGUCUGAGAGGAUGACCAGCCACACUGGAACUGAGACACGGUCCAGACUCCUACGGGAGGCAGCAGUGGGGAAUAUUGCACAAUGGGCGCAAGCCUGAUGCAGCCAUGCCGCGUGUAUGAAGAAGGCCUUCGGGUUGUAAAGUACUUUCAGCGGGGAGGAAGGGAGUAAAGUUAAUACCUUUGCUCAUUGACGUUACCCGCAGAAGAAGCACCGGCUAACUCCGUGCCAGCAGCCGCGGUAAUACGGAGGGUGCAAGCGUUAAUCGGAAUUACUGGGCGUAAAGCGCACGCAGGCGGUUUGUUAAGUCAGAUGUGAAAUCCCCGGGCUCAACCUGGGAACUGCAUCUGAUACUGGCAAGCUUGAGUCUCGUAGAGGGGGGUAGAAUUCCAGGUGUAGCGGUGAAAUGCGUAGAGAUCUGGAGGAAUACCGGUGGCGAAGGCGGCCCCCUGACGAAGACU